rnacentral:tRNA from 2 species
AGUCCCAUGGGGUAGUGGCCAAUCCUGCGAGCUUCUGGGGCUCGCGACCCAGGUUCGAAUCCUGGUGGGACUA